GACGAACGCUGGCGGCGUGUUUAAGACAUGCAAGUCGCACGGGAUAAGACAUGUAGUAAUACUUGUUUUAUUUAGUGGCGCACGGGUGAGUAACACGUGAAUUACAUGCCCUAUAGUGGGGAAUAGCCCAGGGAAACUUGGAUUAAUACCCCAUGGUAUCGAAAGAUUAAAGGUGGCCGCAAGGCUGUCGCUAUAGGAUUGGUUCGCGCCCUAUCAGCUUGUUGGUGAGGUAACGGCUCACCAAGGCAAUGACGGGUACCUGGUCUGAGAGGGCGAUCAGGCACACUGGAACUGAGACACGGUCCAGACACCUACGGGUGGCAGCAGUCGAGAAUAAUUCACAAUGGGGGCAACCCUGAUGGUGCAACGCCGCGUGGAGGAUGACGGUCUUCGGAUUGUAAACUCCUGUCAUCUGGGAGAAAGACCUGACGGUAAAUAGCCGGCAGGGUUGAUAGUACCAGAAGAGGAAGGGACGGCUAACUUCGUGCCAGCAGCCGCCGUAA
rnacentral:rRNA from 1 species